rnacentral:lncRNA from 1 species
UGGACAUUCAAGUUUAUGGAAACAUUAUGCAUUUACAAAUGAUAAUGGAAACAUUAUGCAUUUACAAAUUACAACUGAUGUUUUUUCUACCGCAAGGCAAAUAAGAAAACCUAACACUUUAAAGUUUCCACCUCUGUGCAAUAUCCGGGGCGGUGAGUAAGUUAGAAAAAAAAGUAUUUAGAGCUCAUGAAGAUCUUAGAACAGACUCCCAACGACCGUACUUGGAGCUGAAAGUGCCACCACCAUGCCGUUCAGCGUACUCAAGCAUUGUAGCCCUCGCACACUCAUCCCAAACUUUAGCUAUUUCUUUAAGUGACAUUGCUUCCUUUAUAGACAAACUAAACCUCGAUCUAGCUCUCGCCGAUAAAUCCUCAAACUUGUGAUCACUGCAAGGAAAGAAAUUCGUAUAAAGAUCAAAAACAUUAAAACAUAUAUGUUUAGUUUUCCUCUUGUGGUCAAGUUUCAUACCUGACGCCGUCAAAGAGGAUUUUCUCUAUAAUUAUUGGGGAACAUGGGUAAUUAUCUGGAACUAGUAAACGUAAGGGCUGAAUCUGUGACUGUAAAAAAAAAAAAAAAAAAAAAAAAGUCAAAACUAACUCGAAACCACAUAAAGUAUGAAUCUUUCAUGGGUUACGAUGAUAGGAAUCAAAACAAUAUUACAAGAAUUGGAUCAAAACUCUAGAUUAUCUUGCUUACAAUCAAAGGAUUCGAGAAAAUGACGAGAGAAUUGGAGAGUUGACCUUGUUGGUUGGAGAAGCAGCUGGAGGGAAACAGAGUGUUUAUGUGAGUUAUUAUUGAUUUGAGAUUUGGUUGGGAAGACGAAGAGAUCUCAGACUUCUCAACGAUUAAAACGACAGCUGCUCGAUGCCGUUUGGUCUUCUUCUCCAUGGAGACGUGCUUUUUAGUGGGGUCCUUUUAUUCCGCGUUUGUUUUAGUUACUACGAGUCCGGUUUACUCGGGUGGGUUAACUUAAACUUCAUAACCACUAAUCCGGGAUUAGUACCCUAUCUAAUUCAUUUCUUAUGAGUUAGCAUUCAAAACCAUGCCUCCAUGGCCUGGUUAUAUUUUGAACUUUUCUAUUUGGAAUUAUACCCAUAUAUAAUUAUAUUUAUUUACUGGAAGUGGGGAAAAUGGGUUUUUAAUUCCUCGAGUAUUUUAAAUUAGCACUUUUAAUAUCCAAUUAGUACUUGCACAAAUUUAAUCCCCAUGUGAAUGCUAACCGCUUAAAAUCAGACUUAAAAAUAUCACCCGUUAACUUUUUGACAGAAAACGUUAGUUCUAUUAAAACCUAAGAUCGGGGUUUGCUUUUGAAACCCAGAAAUCUAUAAAUAUUGAUUCUUCAAGUAAUUUCUAACAUCAGAUGAGCUGAUCCAUAUAAUCUUCUCGGCUUUGGCGAGCCAUUACAAGACUGCCUCUAGCUCGACACGUAAAGUUUGUUGAACUACUACGAUUGAGCAAACAGUUAUUUAAGCCAAACCACACUGAACUGAUUAUCAAGAUCUCUUGUUCAUCGAUAAGCACCAAUAUAGAAAUUGAUACUUUUGUUAAGGUAAGAAGUAAGAACUGAGGUGUGUGUUCAUAUUACAAAAGAACAAGGAAGAAGAAAGAGAUCACUUUAAUUAAGAAUUAGAUAUGUUUCUUCUUUUGUACAAUCCUUUCAAUCUCAUUAAUAUCAUCUUGAACCAUAAAGAUUCGAUCUUUACCAAAACAAAGGGAAAAAUACUACCAUGAAACAGAUCAAAAAGAAUUUAUAUUAAAAAAAAAACUCAUAUCAAACCAACCAGAGCUACAUCCCCUAGGCUGCAACUUCAUCUGACAAACGUGGGUAGCACUUCAUCUAGAGUUACCUUUAAGGUCAUAAUCUUUAGACUUGGUUACCCAAAGGCAGGCCCUUUUAGAUCCAAGGAGAAGUAGAUGUAUGAGUGAAGGCAAGAAUCUCUACGUGAACGUAGUUAGGAUCUGAGAUUUCUUUUUUUUUUUGCUUUGAUAACUUAAAUGGUGAUAAUGAGCAAAUAAGCCUAGAGGAGAUUUGUUUUAUAACUGGACAAGAAAUCAGGUUCUCCAUUCUCUCAAUGGCUGGAUUGUUUACCGGAAUUCACAUCUUCUCAAAAUAGUAUGAGGAAUCGAUUUUAGAUUUCGCAGUUUCAGAAAACAAAACCAAAUUUUUUUUCUUUCAGAACUAACGAUACUGUCAAAAAUUUAACAGUUGACUUUUUAAAGUCCAAUUUUAUACAGUCAACAUUUAGUUGAGGAUUAAAUAUGCACAGACAGUAGUUGAGUAUUAAAAGUGUUAGUUACAAAUACUUGGGUAUUAAAAGUGUUAAUUACAACUUCAUCUGACAAAUGUGGGUAACACUAAACACCAUAAAUUAAUAGAUUUCUUCGAUACCAAAUUGAGACGGUUCAAAAUAUGACAUAAAUCGAUAAAAUAAUAAGAUAAUAAUUUUUCAGAAAAUUCUACGUAAAUGUAUAAUCCCAUUAAAAUUAUUAUAUGUAUAUACAUUUUAUAUAAGUACAAAACAACCACUAUAUUAUUUGUUUUAUAUUCACAAUGGAAAUUUUUUAUAUUUUCUUAACAUGUUAUAUCUAAAAACACAUUUGAAUUCUAUGAAACAUAUUUUAUAUACACUAAAUAAUAAACUAAAACUAAUAUAAAUGUCAAAUUUCAGAAUGCUGAUUAAUGUAUAUACAUUAAAAUCAAAUAUUUUUUUUCUUUUAGAAAAAAUAUAUCUUAAAAUAUAAAAAUCUAAAAAAUAUUUUUUUUUUGUAAAUUAAUAACUCUAUGAAUUAAUAAAAUAUCAAACACCUCACAUUAUUAAUUUAUAGAAUUUUUACUGUAGUAUUAUCAUAUUGCGAUAGUUAUAUAGUAUAAAAUACAUAGUAGAACCAUAUUAAUGAUAUGGUUAGAUUUAUUCAAUGUUUCAAUCUACUCACCACAUCAUUUAUGCUUUGUUCUUCUUCCAUUAUGGCUAAUGGGUAGUUUUUUUAAUUGGUUCAUGGAUGAUGAUUAUGAUUGUUUCUUGUUAGAAUGUUGAUGUUAGUUGCAAUUAAUACUUAAUUAGAUUCCAUUCAAGUCUAGACGUUUUCAUGUCUGGAAAGUCUCUUGUUAAAAAAAUAUACUUGGACCAUGCGGUUGGGUUUUAUGCUUUGGCAUCUCUAAACUCUGUUUGGAGUUAAAGAAUAUUGGCUUUGGUGCUGUGGUUUCUCGUGGCAUCUUCAAGAUUUUGACCUGACAUUUCUUCUAACGCAAGGCUAAUAAGUAAGCCUAACUUAGGCUUUAAAGUUUCCACCUCUGUACAAAAUCCUAGACCUUAUCCGGGUCGGUAAGUGAGAGAAGAAUUAUAUAGGACUCAUGAAGCUCUUAGAACAGACUCCCAACGACCGUACUUGGAGCUGUAAGUGCCUCCACCAUGCCCCUCAGCGUACUCAAGCAUUGUAGCUCUCCCGCACUCAUCCCAAACUUUAGCUAUUUCUUUAAGUGACAUUGCUUCCUUCAUAGACAAACUAAACCUCGAUCUAGCUCUCGCGGAUAAAUCCUCAUACUUGUGUACACUGCAAGGAAACAAAUCCGUAUAAGAUCAAAACAUAUAUUACGUUUAGUUCCCUCUUAUGAUCAACCAACUUCUACUAGACUCUCAUACCUGGCGGUAUCAAAGAUGACUUUCUCUAGAAUUGUUGGGGAAUAUGGAUAAUUCUCACGAACUAGUAAGCGCAACGGCUGAAUCUGUGACUGCAACAAACAUGGGAUAUUUAAGCAUCUGAACCAAAAGACAGACAAGAAUAAGUUUGGAGAGACUUACGAUAUGUCCUGAAUUGUAAAGAGCUUUGAAUGUGGCACUGAGAGCCACAGGGACAUAAGCACACGUGACGACGACUGUUCCUGAAGUAACUUUACUUGGACAAACAUCUUCAUUGCAUAUACUCACUACUGUCUCCACAAGUCUCUCAUUUAUUUCAAUGAUUUCUUGCAAGAGAGCAUAACUAGGCUGCAAGAUUGAGACAGCGCCUUGUUUCAAUAGUUCUUUUCAAAUAUAUUUUUGUUAGAAAGAAAAUUUAAAAGUCUCCAUAUAGUUUACCUCAAUCUUGUUAACCUUGGAGGAAGAUAUAGCAGUAACUGAGCGCUUGAAUCUCUUGGUAGGAUGUGUAUCUCCUUGUUGCACACGGAACCUUGUCCUCUCACUCAAAUCCUCCCCUAAACGAGCUAUAGAUCCUCCAAUGGUGUGGACCAAACCAGCAAUCAUGUCACUCAAACUGAUGACCGAACUCAUCUCACUUACUGACUGUGCCAAAGAUUCAGGUGAUGCUGAUUGCAACUAGCAAAGCAACACACACAUAAAUUAACACUUUGAUCAAAGAUAAGAUGGAGAAACUAAACUUGAAUCAUCUAAUAUGACUUCUUCACUCACCGCUUUUAUCAGACGAUCAAUAGGCCGCUCUGUGAUUGGCUCUGGUGGAAGAUGCUCCUGAGCUGCUGUGGACAUAGUGUUGUUCUCAUCUUCUGGUUCCAUCCUAGGCCUUGUUUGAUGGGUAUGAGAAGGAGGGAGAUGAACUUGUUGCUGCCGCUUCAUUGCCCUCCGAGUCACGUUCAGGUGAUGAUACUCAAUGAACCUCAGUAACUUUGCCUCAUAGAGACUAAGCUUAUCUCUGUGAAACUCUGAUACACUGCUCUUACAGACAUUUAAGAACGCAAGAACUCCUUCCAACGUCGCUUUGCUCGCCUUUAGCCAUUCAACCGGCAUGUUAUGCUGAGGAAGAGAAUCAAUCUCCCGCAAUUUAUCAGAUAUUGAUUUGUAAAAUGUACUCAGAACAAGUCCAUACUUCUCCUUGAGGGCCUUUAUCUGUAAGAAAAUUAUGACAAUGGAUAGGUUUCAUAGGGAUAAAUCAUAUAUAGUUUCAUGAUUUGUGAUGUUGAGAUACCUUUUGAUAGGUCUCUUCCGGCCAGUCAUCACCACCACUGGUACUAGAUGGAUGUGUAUCAUUCAAACGUUGUAGCAUCAAUGGUUGAGACUGGUCCACCUCUUGGCCUUGAAUACCCAACAAACUUGGUCCAUGCACAUUAAAGCUAGCCAUUAGUGUGUGUGGCUAGCAACAAGAAAUGAUCAGACAUUAAAAACACAUAAUCAAGAAUCAUUAUCAAGAAAUCACUAGAACAAACCAAUAUCAUCAUAUUCUUCCAUUAGUGUGUGUGACCUGACCUUAAAGCAUCAGUUUUCGAAGUAGCGUGACAAUCACGCAACUUGCAAAUGUGUUGCUAUCGAAUAAAGGAAACGUAAGAAGAUCGAAUAAAGAAAAAGAGUACAAGAAUGAUAAGAUCGCAACUCACAAGAAGAAUUUAAUCCACGAAACAGUCGGAGAUCGCGGAAGGAGAGUGAUCGAUGAAUUGAGGAAGAAAGGAAUCCAAGAUCUAGGUUAAAACUUUUGAGAAAGACUCGAAGGGUUUUCAGAGCGGGAGAGACUGAUUAAUUGAAGAGACUAUACGUAAGAGUCUUAGUAUAUAAACAGUCUCUCCUUUUCGUAUUAUUACUUCAUUCAGUUACCAAAUUGCGAAUGUACGAGUAUGGAAGAAUCUCUAAAGUACAAUUAUAAGUCUCAGUAUAAAAUUGUUCAAACUAGCAACGCAGAACUCUUUUUUUUUUUGGUAAAAUGUUAAAUCACUUUAGAACUUUACCGGAAAUAUUUUCACGUUUGAUUCCUUAAUUUGGUAAACACCUUUGUUUUUGGUCAACGGUAAGCUAAUAACCAAAUACUAUAAAAGAAAGCUUGGUCAUAAGCACGCCGGGCUUGAGCCCAAUGUUUUGAAAACAUUUGAAAGGGUCUCAAUAUAUAAAGGGCUUCCAAUUUUUUUUAAAAAAGUUAUUUAUAUAUACUAAUCGUCUAAUCCAUAUAUAAAAUAGAGAAAAAGACAAAAAUAGCACUAAAUCAAGUUUUUGUUUCCAAACUAUCACUCAAGAUCAAAAGUCACAAAAAUAGCACUUAAUGUUUUAUCAAAAAUCACAAACUUAGGGUUUAGAGUUAAAGGGUGGGGUUUAGGAUUUAGGGUUUAGGGUUUAGGGUUUAGGGUUUAGAGUUUAGAGUUUAGGGUUUAGGGUUUAGGUUUUAGAGUUUAGAGUUUAGGGUUUAGGGUUUAGGGUUUAGGGUUUAAGGUUUAGAGUUUAAGGUUUAGGGUUUAAAGUUGAGAAAUGAGGUUUUAGGGAUAAGAUUUCAAAUUUUGAAUAAUAAAAAAAUUAAAUUUUUCAAGGGAUAAACUUAGAAAGAUGCUAUUUUGGUCAUUUUAGUUUUGGAGUGCUAUUUUUGUGAUAUAAACUUAGAAAUGUGUUAUUUUGGAGAUUUGUCCUAUAAAAUACAUUAAAAAGGUUUUUAUAAAGUAAAUAAUUUUGUGAUAAAAAGAAAUAGAGAUAUUUUUAUCUUUUAAUCUCCCAUUUUAUUUAGAUUAUUAUUAUUUUGUAUAGUUUUUUCAUAUAUAGUUUAUAAUACUACAAAAGUAAAAUUAUAAAAAAAAAUUGGAAUGUAGUUUUUUCAUUUAUUCGGGCCCGGCUCUGGUCAUAAGAAACUAUAAUAUAACAUCCAACCUACUUAUACGCAUAACAAAGAUUGGUCAAAUCUAAGAAUCCAAACUGAAACCGGUUAAAGAUUCUACAAAAUAGAUUUUUUUUUUUUUUUUGAAAAAAAAUUCUACAAAAUAGAUGAGACUUGGACAUUCAAGUUUAUGGAAACAUUAUGCAUUUACAAAUGAUAAUGGAAACAUUAUGCAUUUACAAAUUACAACUGAUGUUUUUUCUACCGCAAGGCAAAUAAGAAAACCUAACACUUUAAAGUUUCCACCUCUGUGCAAUAUCCGGGGCGGUGAGUAAGUUAGAAAAAAAAGUAUUUAGAGCUCAUGAAGAUCUUAGAACAGACUCCCAACGACCGUACUUGGAGCUGAAAGUGCCACCACCAUGCCGUUCAGCGUACUCAAGCAUUGUAGCCCUCGCACACUCAUCCCAAACUUUAGCUAUUUCUUUAAGUGACAUUGC